UGGGGAAUAUUGCACAAUGGGCGAAAGCCUGAUGCAGCGACGCCGCGUGCGGGAUGAAGGCCUUCGGGUUGUAAACCGCUUUUAAUUGGGAGCAAGCGAGAGUGAGUGUACCUUUUGAAUAAGCACCGGCUAACUACGUGCCAGCAGCCGCGGUAAUACGUAGGGUGCAAGCGUUAUCCGGAAUUAUUGGGCGUAAAGAGCUCGUAGGCGGUUUGUCACGCCUGGUGUGAAAGUCCAUCGCUUAACGGUGGAUCUGCGCCGGGUACGGGCAGGCUAGAGUGCAGUAGGGGAGAUUGGAAUUCCCGGUGUAACGGUGGAAUGUGUAGAUAUCGGGAAGAACACCAAUGGCGAAGGCAGAUCUCUGGGCUGUUACUGACGCUGAGGAGCGAAAGCAUGGGGAGCGAACAGGAUUAGAUACCCUGGUAGUCUAUGCCGUAAACGGUGGAUGCUGGAUGUGGGACCCUUCCACGGGUUCCGUGUCGGAGCUAACGCGUUAAGCAUCCCGCCUGGGGAGUACGGCCGCAAGGCUAAAAC
rnacentral:rRNA from 1 species